UAAUCACCUGUCUUUUAAAUAAAGACCUGUAUGAAUGGCAAGACGAGGGUUUUACUGUCUCCUCCCCCCAGUCAAUGAAAUUGAUCUACCCGUGCAGAAGCGGGUAUAAAAACAUAAGACGAGAAGACCCUAUGGAGCUUUAGGCAUAUGUCAAAUAUGUAAAAAACCAAAUUUUCCAAAUAGGCCUAAAAAACGGGAAAAACAAGUAUUAAUGACUAAAUGCCUUCGGUUGGGGCGACCACGGGGAAGAAUAAAACCCCCACAUGGAAUGGGAAAAAUAACCCUAAGACAAGAAAAACACUUCUAAGCAACAAAAUUUUUGACCAAUUAACGACCCAGGGACACCAUCCCUGAGCAAUGAACCAAGUUACCCUAGGGAUAACAGCGCAAUCCUUUCCCAGAGCCCA
rnacentral:rRNA from 1 species